UACGUAGGGUCCGAGCGUUGUCCGGAAUUAUUGGGCGUAAAGAGCUCGUAGGUGGUUUGUCGCGUUGUUCGUGAAAACUCACAACUCAAUUGUGGGCGUGCGGGCGAUACGGGCAGACUGGAGUACUGCAGGGGAGACUGGAAUUCCUGGUGUAGCGGUGGAAUGCGCAGAUAUCAGGAGGAACACCGGUGGCGAAGGCGGGUCUCUGGGCAGUAACUGACGCUGAGGAGCGAAAGCGUGGGGAGCGAACAGG
rnacentral:rRNA from 1 species